rnacentral:lncRNA from 1 species
AAAGAAAGUUGUGUUUAACUAAUCUCAUCUGAAUGAAUUUUUGGUAUUCAAAUAUGUGGACAAACAUCGGAAACAAAUUCAGUACAGUCUGUACACAACGUACAAAAGAAAUGAAAGAAGAAGUCAUAAUAAUUAACUAUUUUCCAAUUUUCAGUUAGAAAAAUAAAAAAAAAUAGAAAAAACCGGACUUCCAUAGAUGCUCAUUUUUGGUCCAAAACAUGUGGAAUGUGAAUUAUAUGUUAUCUUCAGGAUACACUAAAGGAGCGACAAAAUGCCUGAUAAUUAAACCGAAUAUUCCGGUAAGUAAUUGCAAUCCCAUUAUACAUAUUGUUAAAUGGUCUUCCCUCAUUGGGCCCAGAUGAUACAAAACAAAAUUAAUAAUUGUAAAGUUCGUACACCUGAGCGGGCGCCCGGUGCUAGGAUCGUACUCAACCCGAAUCAAUCGUAAUUUUUCAAAAAUAGAAAUAGUCAGCAAAGUCUUUUUAGGUAAAGGAUGCUCGUUUAGAGAGAAUUCUGUGUAGGAGUUUUCCAACAAUCCAGUUUUCACAUUUAGUUUAGGAAGUCGAUGACGGGGACAUUCAACCAAUCCAAAAAGCUGUGGAACGGAAAGCGCAAAAUUGAAAAUUUGAGGGAUAAAAAAGAGCAUAAGUGUCUUAGAGAAAUGACCUAAAAUUCCAACAACUGCCAUUACCAUUCCUGCAAAAUAGCAAAACGUAUCACCUACAAACACUCGCGAAGGCCACCAAUUGUAUUUUAGAAGCCCAGCAGUGACACCUAUAAGAGGCAAGACUAGAUAAAGGGAAAGGAGAUGAGCUCUUAAUGCAUCCUUAUUUUUGGGAGAGAGUACAUAAAACAAAUCAUUGCAAGCAAUAACAAGAGCAAGAACAAGCGAUUGGCCUGCCUCAACACCAUUUACUCCAGCAAUAAUGUUAAUACUGUUUGGACAAAAAAUCGCAACCGCAGCCAUAUAAAAGUAAUAAAGAAAACCCAAGUUGAUAAGAGAUCUCUUUAAAAAUGGUCUUACAAUGCUAGGAACGGACACAUAAGUAACUCCAUAGUCAACGUAGUAAACAACCAACAAUGGGAUAGCGGCAAUUGCUGGUAAAAAGAAUUUAUGCCUCCAUCGAAUAUCGAAUAAAUCAUCAAGAAUUCCAAGUAAAGAAACCGACAGAAUUGAAAGGAGGGCAGACAAAUAAGCGCCCAAAAGAUCAUGUGGAAACUGGGAUUUGGCAACCUCGGCGACAGAUCCAUCGGAUGGAAGAUUCGGGUUAUGAUUAGGUACCAAGUACUUAUAAAAUAGUACCGGUAUAAAUAUAAUCAUACACAUAAAAUAUACCAAUGCAGAAACUGCUCCCAUUGUUUCAGGUAUUACAUAUUUCUCUACUUUAUUCAUGUCCUUCCCCGAAAAGCCUCGUUUAAUAAAGGAGGGUCCUACUCUAGGAAUGAACAUUGCUGUAGCUUUGUAUGCUAAGACAGAGAGACCAACAUUAGAAAGUAGCGGAGAUUGACCUUGGUUCAUCAACAAAGCCAAACCUGUAGCCCAUAUUCCCACAUUAAAACAGGACUCUAUCAUUUUGAUACCUGUUAAUUAAAUAAAUUAAAAUAUUAGAAACAAGAAGACUUCAGUGGAUCAGGUAAGUUAUGAAUUUGUAUUCAUAUGUUGAAACGGUUAUGCGGUAGAUGUCAACGAACAUGUGUAGGAGACCGCGGCUAUACUUAUGCAAACACUAGGUAAUUUGUCUACUCAACGCAAAUAUACGAGAUUCAAGAUCUAGGAGAUGUUUUGAUAUAUUAUGUUUACGUUUUAAUUUAAAUUAGUUAUACAAUCUGUUCGUAGCAGAAGUAGUUGCAGCAACUAUAAAAGUGCAGAUCGUCGUAAUAAGUCAGAAUAUUGAGAAGUAAUUCGUUGCAUAUCUCGGUAUUUUGCUGUAUGAAUUAUAAUAUCUUUCAAUAAAUUUCUUUUAUUAUUACCAGCAAUCGUAGGACUCCAAAGUCGAUUUCCUACCUUGACUGUAUCAAUACCAUUAUGUGGUAUCCUUAAAGGACCUAAUAGUUCUUUGCAUAAUUCAUCCAUUUUAUCUUUCAUACCUUCUUCAGCAAUUUUUUUGGCGUAUAAAAUUAAAUUUUCACGAAAGUCAUAUUCCAAGUCUAGUUUUGCAGAACUCAUUAAUCGAUUUUCCAGAUGUCUGAUACUGACCAGCAUUUCAUAAUUGUCAUAGCCUUGUCUCAGCAUUAAUGCUUUAACAAGCCUUUGUAAAAAGCGACCGCGACCAGCUUUAAUAAUUUCCUCGUCCGUGCAACGCUCAAGGAAACCAAGCGGACUUUCUUCAUUGGAUUCAGAGGCUAAUGGACCCCAAUACUGACUACCUAUCAUCCACCAGCCUUCACUAACACGAAGCCAGGAGCUGCUGUCUCUUAUAAAUGCAAAAGCAUUACCAUCGCUCAUGAUAGCAACCGGGUGACCUUGCUUAGUUACAAAAAAUUGUUCAAUAGAAGGACCCCGUGCAAUCUUACUAACUGAAAAAUUUGAAUGAAACAAAGGAAGUGUACUCACAGGUGAAUGUAUAGCUUCAAAGUUUUUGAUAUUCCAUAUAUAUAGCAAACCCGUGGAAACUAUGCAACACAAAAAGUCACCACAACAUUCUAAGAAACAAGGAGUUGCAGCUACAACAACUGGUGGUAAAAGCAACCUCCCAGCUGGAGAAUAUAUGUAUAUAGAUGAAUCUUCGGUUGCAACUGCCCAAAAAACGCUGGUUCCAUUGGCCAGAACAAUAGCAUUGGGAAGAUAUGAAAACCAAGAACAGUCAUUUCCAUCUAGAUUGGAAAAAGUACACUUUAACAAAGAUAACUGGUUGUGAUUCUUGACUAUCAAUGUACCAAAUGACUUUGAUAUUACAAGUUUAGGUUUCAAAUAAGGACAGCCAAUUCUGAUUUGGGAAUAAAGGGAUGUUGGGUGAGGAACAGGAGGCCUCGCAACAAACUUUUUUGGGCACUUUCGUCUCUUUGACUCUGGAGAUGAUGCAAUAGAAGGAGGAGGUCUCAAUAAAAUAGAUUUGGAAGGAGACUCCGGUUGCCCUUGUGUAGGUGAAGUGGUACGGUCUGCCGCAGCAUUUUUAUUAACAUGUGCUUUUGACCGAGAACUAUUAAAGUAAGAUAGAUCAUCAGGGUAAUGUAUCGUAUCCAUUUUUUCCCCGAACUCUGAUUCCUCAAAUUGUAACAGCAUCAAGUUACCGUCCAACGAAACACCGUACAACUCAAAACCAGAUGUCGACCAUUGUAAAUCAACAAAUGAUGAGCAGGACAACUCAUGAAUAACAGCCAUAGGUCUUGCGCAUGCGGUGUUCCAG